UCGAGCGAACAGACGAGGAGCUUGCUCCUCUGACGUUAGCGGCGGACGGGUGAGUAACACGUGGAUAACCUACCUAUAAGACUGGGAUAACUUCGGGAAACCGGAGCUAAUACCGGAUAAUAUAUUGAACCGCAUGGUUCAAUAGUGAAAGACGGUUUUGCUGUCACUUAUAGAUGGAUCCGCGCCGCAUUAGCUAGUUGGUAAGGUAACGGCUUACCAAGGCAACGAUGCGUAGCCGACCUGAGAGGGUGAUCGGCCACACUGGAACUGAGACACGGUCCAGACUCCUACGGGAGGCAGCAGUAGGGAAUCUUCCGCAAUGGGCGAAAGCCUGACGGAGCAACGCCGCGUGAGUGAUGAAGGUCUUCGGAUCGUAAAACUCUGUUAUUAGGGAAGAACAAAUGUGUAAGUAACUAUGCACGUCUUGACGGUACCUAAUCAGAAAGCCACGGCUAACUACGUGCCAGCAGCCGCGGUAAUACGUAGGUGGCAAGCGUUAUCCGGAAUUAUUGGGCGUAAAGCGCGCGUAGGCGGUUUUUUAAGUCUGAUGUGAAAGCCCACGGCUCAACCGUGGAGGGUCAUUGGAAACUGGAAAACUUGAGUGCAGAAGAGGAAAGUGGAAUUCCAUGUGUAGCGGUGAAAUGCGCAGAGAUAUGGAGGAACACCAGUGGCGAAGGCGACUUUCUGGUCUGUAACUGACGCUGAUGUGCGAAAGCGUGGGGAUCAAACAGGAUUAGAUACCCUGGUAGUCCACGCCGUAAACGAUGAGUGCUAAGUGUUAGGGGGUUUCCGCCCCUUAGUGCUGCAGCUAACGCAUUAAGCACUCCGCCUGGGGAGUACGACCGCAAGGUUGAAACUCAAAGGAAUUGACGGGGACCCGCACAAGCGGUGGAGCAUGUGGUUUAAUUCGAAGCAACGCGAAGAACCUUACCAAAUCUUGACAUCCUCUGACCCCUCUAGAGAUAGAGUUUUCCCCUUUCGGGGGACAGAGUGACACGUGUGCAUGGAUGUCGUCAGCUCGUGUCGUGAGAUGUUGGGCUAGUCCCGCACGAGC
rnacentral:rRNA from 1 species